CAGGAUUUACCAUCAGAAACAGAACAGCUGACAAAGCUGCAAGUGAGCUGAAUCAGCUCCUCGCUGACACUGUUUAAUUAUUGAAUUAUUAUUUAGAUCUUAACAACGUUACUCUUCUGUUUUUAAGCAGGGACUGAGCUUAAACCCUGCAGAGACUCAGUCUGGACCAGGAACCAAUCAAUCCUGGGCUGGAGCUGAUGAUGGUGUUUCCUACGUCUCCAUCAGCUUCACCAAGAGGGCCAAGAACAAAGCCCGGUCCCGUGGUCAUGAUGAAGGUGACACUGUGACCUACAGCACUGUGAAAGCUUUCUCCUCUUCUGCUGGAGAUGAUCCCAACCACCUCUAUUCCACCAUCAGUGAUGUAAAGAAGUAGGAUGUUGCUCAUGAAAGGAGAUAUGUUAGAUGCUGUUUCACUUUUUAGAUGAGAGAGUGAAUGUGAAAAGUCAUGUGUUACUUUCAUGUCUGACGUGUGUUUUGUUUUGAACUGAUAACAUUAAUUGUUCUCUUAAGCGAACACACAUAGCUCUAUUUCUUCUUCUUCUUUUAUUUUUAUAAAUUCACUAUGAAAAUCACGAGGGCUACAUGUAUAAUAAGCAAAUUUAAAAUAUUAAAACAAGUGUUUUGUAAAGUCACUGAUAGAGCUGAGUCCAUCUC